UACGUAGGGUGCGAGCGUUAAUCGGAAUUACUGGGCGUAAAGCGUGCGCAGGCGGUCUGUUAAGACAGAUGUGAAAUCCCCGGGCUUAACCUGGGAACUGCAUUUGUGACUGCAUGGCUAGGGUGCGGCAGAGGGGGAUGGAAUUCCGCGUGUAGCAGUGAAAUGCGUAGAUAUGCGGAGGAACACCGAUGGCGAAGGCAAUCCCCUGGGCCUGCACUGACGCUCAUGCACGAAAGCGUGGGGAGCAAACAGG
rnacentral:rRNA from 1 species